UACGUAGGGUGCGAGCGUUAAUCGGAAUUACUGGGCGUAAAGCGUGCGCAGGCGGUUCGUCGUGUCCAAUGUGAAAGCCCCGGGCUCAACCUGGGAAUGGCAUUGGAAACUGGCGGGCUUGAGUGUGGCAGAGGGGGGUGGAAUUCCGCGUGUAGCAGUGAAAUGCGUAGAGAUGCGGAGGAACACCGAUGGCGAAGGCAGCCCCCUGGGCUGACACUGACGCUCAGGCACGAAAGCGUGGGGAGCGAACAGG
rnacentral:rRNA from 1 species